UACGAGGGGGGCAAGCGUUGUUCGGAAUUAUUGGGCGUAAAGGGCGCGUAGGCGGUGCGGUAAGUCACCUGUGAAAACUCUGGGCUCAACUCAGAGCCUGCAGGCGAAACUGCCGUGCUUGAGUGUGGGAGAGGUGCGUGGAAUUCCCGGUGUAGCGGUGAAAUGCGUAGAUGAUCGGGAGGAACACCUGUAGGCGGAAAGCGGCGCACUGGACCACAACUGACGCUGAGGCGCGAAAGCUAGGGGAGCAAACAGG
rnacentral:rRNA from 1 species